ACGUAGGAACCGAGCGUUGUCCGAAUUUACUGGGCGUAAAGGGCGCGUAGGCGGCCUGUUAAGUCUUAUGUGAAAUCUCCCGGCUCAACUGGGAGGGGACAUGGGAUACUGGCAGGCUCGAGGGCAGUAGAGGGAAGCGGAAUUCCCGGAGUAGUGGUGGAAUGCGUAGAUACCGGGAGGAACACCAGAGGCGAAAGCGGCUUCCUGGGCUGUCCCUGACGCUGAGGCGCGAAAGCGUGGGGAGCAAACCGG
rnacentral:rRNA from 1 species